rnacentral:rRNA from 1 species
CAGUUAAAAAGCUCGUAGUUGGAUUUCGGAGUGGGCCAGUUGGUCCGCCGCAAGGUGUGUUACUGACUGGUUUGCUCUUCUUCGCAAAGACUGCGUGUGCUCUUUGUUGGGUGUGCGUAGGAUUUACGACGUUUACUUUGAAAAAAUUAGAGUGUUCAAAGCAGGCUAUUGCUUGAAUACAUGAGCAUGGAAUAAUGGAAUAGGACUUUGGUCCCAUUUUGUUGGUUUCUAGGACCGAAGUAAUGAUUAAGAGGGACAAUUGGGGGCAUCCGUAUUUCGUUGUCAGAGGUGAAAUUCUUGGAUUUACGAAAGACGAACAACUGCGAAAGCACUUGCCAAGAGUGUUUUCAUUAAUCAAGAACGAAAGUUAGAGGAUCGAAGACGAUCAGAUACCGUCCUAGUUCUAACCAUAAACGAUGUCGACUAGGGAUCAGCGGGCGUUAUCGUACGACCCCGUUGGCACCUUACGGGAAACCAAAGUUUCUGGAUUCCGGGGGAAGUAUAGUCGCAAGGCCGAAACUUAAAGGAAUUGACGGAAGGGCACCACCAGGAGUGGAGCCUGUGGCUCAAUUUGACUCAACACGGGAAAACUUACCAGGUCCAGACAUAGUAAGGAUUGAC